rnacentral:rRNA from 1 species
GACGAACGCUGGCGGCGUGCUUAACACAUGCAAGUCGAACGGAAAGGCCUCUUUCGGGGGGUACUCGAGUGGCGAACGGGUGAGUAACACGUGAGUAACCUGCCCUUGACUUUGGGAUAACUUCAGGAAACUGGGGCUAAUACCGGAUAGGAGCUCCUGCUGCAUGGUGGGGGUUGGAAAGUUUCGGCGGUUGGGGAUGGACUCGCGGCUUAUCAGCUUGUUGGUGGGGUAGUGGCUUACCAAGGCUUUGACGGGUAGCCGGCCUGGGAGGGUGGCCGGCCACAGUGGGACUGAGAUACGGCCCAGACUCCUACGGGGGGCAGCAGUGGGGAAUAUUGCACAAUGGGUGGAAGCCUGAUGCAGCAACGCCGGGGGCGGGAUGACGGCCUUCGGGUUGUAAACCGCUUUCGCUCAUGACGAAGCUUUGUGUGACGGUAGUGGGUAAAGAAGCACCGGCUAACUACGUG